CCUACGGGAUGCAGCAGUGAGGAAUAUUGGUCAAUGGACGAGAGUCUGAACCAGCCAAGUAGCGUGAAGGAUGACUGCCCUAUGGGUUGUAAACUUCUUUUAUAUGGGAAUAAAAUGUUCCACGUGUGGGAUUUUGUAUGUACCAUAUGAAUAAGGAUCGGCUAACUCCGUGCCAGCAGCCGCGGUAAUACGGAGGAUCCGAGCGUUAUCCGGCUUUAUUGGGUUUAAAGGGAGCGUAGGUGGAUUGUUAAGUCAGUUGUGAAAGUUUGCGGCUCAACCGUAAAAUUGCAGUUGAAACUGGCAGUCUUGAGUACAGUAGAGGUGGGCGGAAGUCGUGGUGUAGCGGUGAAAUGCUUAGAUAUCACGAAGAACUCCGAUUGCGAAGGCAGUUCACUGGACUGCAACUGACACUGAGGCUCGAAAGUGUGGGUAUCAAACAGGAUUAGAUACCCCGGUAGUC
rnacentral:rRNA from 1 species